AUUCCUCUUUUAGGUUUUGUUGUUGUUGCUGUUGUUUUUUUUUUAUUUUAAAUGGAAUUAUAGUCUUGUUUCUCAUCUUGACCCACAGAAUAUCACUAAUUUCCCAAAGAUUACUUUAUAGCAAUUUAGGAACACUGGAUAUCCUGGGAAUACUGAUUAUCACAAGAAAAGCUCUGGUUUUUUUGCUACAUUUGCGAUGUAAAAGAAGUACCUGUGUUUAGCCACUUAAUUGAAUCAGGUCUCAUGGCAUCCUCUGUGUUUGAAAGGAGCCAUGCUGCCAGAUGUGAUGUUUUCAGUAGAGGAACAGACAGCGUUUGAAGAUUGUGAUAGGAUACCAAGUAAGAGCGUGAAGAAUUCACAACUGUGAGGAGAAGUAUGAAGACAAAGCUAUUAGUGGAGACUUUGGGCUUGAGCCUGCCAAGGGAUGUCACAAGGUGAGCCUUCAGCGUGGGGAAAAGGAUGCAAAAGGAAGACACGUCAAUGGGAGACAAAGAAACACCAAACAGGGGCAAAGAGCAUGCUGCAUUCUGCACUACAGGCAAUUAGUGGAAUAAUGUAAACGUAAAUUAACUCAUUAAUGAUUCCUGGAGUGCAUUAUAGAGAUCACGAAACACCACCUGACAAGUCUCUGAAAUAAAAUUCUGCUUUGUAAGUAAUACAAAAAAAAACUCAACACCAACAAGUUGGUUUCAAUAUUUAUUUGUAAUUUGGAGCACAAAUCGUAAACCAGGAAAGUUGGAAUAUUUUUAAUCAAAGCUUUGGUCGAUUACAAUAUGAGGUAUAAGAAAUUGAAUGAAUAGAUCAUUUACUAUUAUUAUGAAACUAAAGGCUUUAUGUUCUUAAGUGGAGUAAAGCUGACAGCAAUGCAUUCAUAUUAGAAAGUUCCUACUGUGAAUGAAAAAUGGGUUAAUACUGAAAUGUUGUUCAGUGAGACAGACAAAUCUGUACUUCUUUUUGGUUGUGAAAUCAUGGUAGCGAUACGCAACCACUAACUAUGAAGAAUUGGCAAUGGGGGAAAUCAUCUUGCCAGUUUGCCCUAUACACGUAUGUUUGGCAAACGUGGUUUGCUGGGUGUGUAUUCCAAUUGCACCUAAUCAGAUCUCUGACCUGUAUCAUGUACAUUCCGGAACAUUAAUUGGCACAAUUAAAAAGUUAUUUAGAGGAUGAGCUUGGAAAAAACACGUUGUCCCUUCUCCAAAUCCUAAAAUGAAACCUGGGCUUUGCAAUAAGCUGGUUUAACUGUUUGUAGAUAGAUGUUACAAGUGUUCACUGGGGGAAAAAAGUAAGGAUGACGGUACCCAGGCAACACCAAAUCUGAAUAGUUCAGCAUGUGUCAGGGUACAGCAAAUUUAUUCUUAUUAAGUGACUGGUGUGAGAAAGAAUUAGAAAGGAUUAUAAAAAUACACUACCAUAUGCUGUAGUAGUUGAAAGUGAUUAAUCCAGUUCUUAAAUCCUAUUUUAAAUUCCCUUUCAUUUCUUCCCAUAGAAAAAUGGAAGCAACAUCGCUUUGUUUGAAUGCUGUGUAGUUAAUUACAUCUUCUAAGAAACUCUUUUAAAAUGAAAUGUAAUGUUUAAUUACAAAAUGCCUCCUUGAAAACUGUUAGCUUGUACAUUGAUUUGUAGUUCAUUAAAAAUGGUUUCUUAAUUAUAUUUACAGCCAGAAAUUACACAGAGAUUAAACAGCCUACAGAGGACUUUUGAAAUUACAGCACAAAUCGCAAGGAAAAAGUUACAUUUCAGACAGUGGACAACUGACAGCUACAACCACCUAAUUGCUGCCUCUCUGUAAUUUCAGAACCUAAUUGUCAUAAAAAUAAUAACUGGAAAAAAAGACAGUUCACUGUAAUGACUCCCAGUAUUGCUUUUUUUUUU